rnacentral:tRNA from 1 species
UCCCAUGUGGUCUAGUGGUUAGGAUUUCUGGUUUUCACCCAGGCGGCCCGGGUUCGAUUACCGGCAUAGGAA